UGAAAUCUGGCUGUCUUCGAUAGUCCGAGUUGUAAUCUAUAGAAGCGUUUUCCGUGCUGAACUGUGUAUAAGUCCCUUGGAACAGGGUAUCAAAGAGGGUGACAAUCCCGUACUUUACACAAUCAUCAGUGCUCUGUGAUACGUUCUCUACGAGUCGAGUUGUUUGGGAAUGCAGCUCAAAAUGGGUGGUAAAUUCCAUCUAAAGCUAAAUAUUGGCGAGAGACCGAUAGCGAACAAGUACCGUGAGGGAAAGAUGAAAAGCACUUUGGAAAGAGAGUUAAACAGUACGUGAAAUUGUUAAAAGGGAAACGAUUGAAGUCAGUCGUGUUUAUUGGAUUCAGCCGGUCUUCGGUGUACUUCCUUUAAACGGGUCAACAUCAGUUUUGUCCGGUGGAUAAAGGCAGUAGGAAUGUGGCUCCCUCGGGAGUGUUAUAGCCUAUUGUCACAUACACUGGAGGAGACUGAGGACUGCAGCUCGCCUUUUGGCCGGGGUUCGCCCACGUUCGAGCUUAGGAUGUUGACAUAA
rnacentral:rRNA from 1 species